rnacentral:ncRNA from 1 species
GUAAAGUUUUAUCCUGGCUUAUUCUUUCAUUUUUAGGUUAAAGGUACAUGUAAGAUUUAUCGGGCCAAUAAGUGUUCAAGAUGCUUAAAUAGCCUUGAAUAAUUUAUAAAAUAGAGGGGUCAUUAAAAGUUAAAGUCUCAGUACCUAGUGCUAAUUAGAUAAAUGUAAGUUGGAAUUGGUAAUCCUAAUCGAACGUCUGGCUAAAAUUUGUGCCAGCAGCCGCGGUUAUACUGAGAGACGAAUUGAAAGAAAAUUGGUUAAAAAUAGUUAAAUAUUUAACUUGGGUAAAUUUAUGAGUCCGUACUGAUAAAAGGUGAAAUUAAUUUUUUAGUAUGUGGAAGCAUAAAGUAUAAAGUUUAAAUUGAAGCUAUUAAGGUAAAGAAAUGAACCAGGAUUAGAUACCCUGUUACACUUUACUUAAAUGAUAAUUACCUGGGUACUAAGCAGUUAUUACCUUGAAACUCAAAGGAUUUGGCGGUAACUUAGUCUAUUUAGAGGAACCUGUCCUGUAAUCGAUAGUCCACGCAAUAUCUUACUUUAUCUCGUAGAAAACAGUUUGUAUACCGUCAUUAUUAGAUAACUUUAAAAAAAUAUAGAGUUAUUGCAAUAGUUGAGCUAGUAAAUUAGAUCAAGGUGCAGCUUAUGGUAAAGUAGAGAUGGGUUACAAUAUGAUAAGUAUAAACGGAGCAACGAGUGAAUAUUCAUUGUGAAGGUGGAUUUAAGAGUAAGAAGAUUUUAAUAAGAUCUACUGACUUUAGCUCUAGGUUAUGUACACAUCGCCCGUCGCUCUCGUUAAUUAAAGCGAGAUAAGUCGUAACAUAGUAGGUGUACUGGAAAGUGUACCUAGAAAUUC